CGUGACUCGAAGGCAGAUGCUCCACAGCUUGGAAGAUGGCUUACAGAACCUGCAACAGGGAUCUCGCCGUGGAACUUGAAGUCAGUCCCACUGAGAAAGGAGAAAGUCCGACCUGCCCCUCCCCCCACACAAUGAAAGCUUCUAGAAUCUUGGGGAGGGUCUCUGUAAGUAGUGUAGAUUUCAGGCACUUACCUCCUGAGACUCGUAAGUUUUGUUAGCUUCCAGAGUCUUAACGACCCUCCCUCCAGGAGGAAAUGGUUCAAUUUGGAGAGAACAGCGUGAGCGGAGCUUUAUAACCAGACAACUGGCUUCAGAAAUGGGCCUGACUCUUUGAUACAACCUGAGGGUAACCUGGGCAGUGUCCUGAUGGAAGAAAGGGUCAUUCCAAAGAAGUCGGCUUUGGAAGCAGAGGAAAUGCCUCAGGUUUCAGACCCUUGGUCUCAGCAUCCUCCAAGUAACAAUCUCACCAUUGUUAUUGGCCCCUCCUCGGCUGCCAUCAGAUUGCAGCUGCUUUGGCUUUCCCAUAUGGAAAGAAGGCCAGAGGCUCUUCAGGAAUCCCCCCAGGCCUUCAGCAUCACUCUGUGACAGCUGAGUCAUCCAGCCUCAUGGAC
rnacentral:lncRNA from 1 species